UUUCUGUCCUGCAAAGCUCUUUAGCAGUCUUACCCUCGUGUGCCAAAGGCUGUGAGAAUGAAGUGUGGGUGUUUGUGCGUACCUGUGAGACUUGUGCGAGUGGACAGACUCAACACUGUGUUCAACUGUCCUUCCCCUGAGCAGCCCCUGCUGCAGCGCAUCCCUGAUCACUCGGACCUGUUCCUGUGUGGAUUUAACUUUCCUUCAGCAGGACUGAGGAAAACAACUGCAAACCAAGGAGAACAUUCAGGAUCAAUAAAGACACCAGAGGAAUACUGAUCAAGAUGUUGAUCACCAUGCUAACUGCCAUGUACAUGAUGGUCAGAGUGGUAGAAUCGAUAGGCAUGCGAUUUGCACAGCAACAGGAACCUUUGCCUUACAUGGUGUCUCAGCCGCUGCCUUGGCAGGUUCACUCUGUGUCACACAGCCGGAGGAGCAGUAAAGCAGAAGAGUUUGAUGGCCUCAGGAGAAACAGCAUAGGCGUGUAUAGAAAGAACUAUGUCUCCAUGGCUAUUGCCUCUGCCUCUCUGGCUAUCCCCUGUGUCCUAUCGUGCUCAGACUCCAAUGCCAGCAAUGGGAAUUGCACUGCACCUCCUGCUCCUCCGCUCAGCCCUGUUGAAGCUGAGAAGGCCGCUGCUACCAUUCAGACCCAUUUCAGGAAGUUUCAACAGAAGAAACAGAAGAACGGCAAGUAGACGGAUGAAGAGGGAGGGUGGUGCUGAUGGAACAAGUCUGAGAGACAGCAAGAAGAAAGUUUGGCCUGUGUGUAUUCACCAAAAAAUAGAUGGACUCUGUGAUGACAUACACAAAUGCAUAUGUAUGUUCAUAUGCAAAUGUACAUACAUUCAAAUUUAUUUAUAUCUCCCUGGACUAGUGAUUCAGAAUAAACAGUAACUUAGUUGACAUUUGAAACACUGCUUAUAAUGCACUAUUUAAAAUUCUAUGUGAACAGAAAUGUGAAUAUACUGUAUAUCUGAAUGGAUAGUUUUGAUGUGUUGUAAAGGCAGAGCGACCGUGAGAAUGUGUGUGACUGUGAGCAUGCUGUAAUUUAUAUAUUAUUACUGUUUUGAGUGUGUAAAUGUGGAAAAAUAAAAUCAUUUGUCAACAUUUCUGUUGUUUGACAAACUAAAUUUGGUUCAAACAUUUCAAUAAACUCAUCUGUCAGCAUGUGUUGUUUCAUAGCAGCAUGUUGCCCUCUAGUGUUUUGAUUAGUUUCUGAAUCUCAUUUUGAAUGAGCAGUAUAUUUUCAAUUCAUAAUGCAAUAGUAGCCUCAAAACUCCACAUUCAGGUUCUUGCUGUUCUUUUUUUUUUUUUUUUUUAAAGAAUACGUUAAUUUUUAAGUGGCUUUAUGGAGGCACUGAAUUAAAUUAGAUGCUCAUUACUAUAAUUGUUGUAAUCACAAUUUUACAAAAUAAUAAGCGGCUGUUCGCUCAUUCAGAGCAAAGCAGCAACCAAUCAAAUAACCUUGCUGCAUUUGUCUUGAUUGAAAAGAUUUGAUGAAAAGAAACAUUAUGAAGUAAAACUGGAGCUGAGCUAAAAACACUGUUUAAAAUAAAAUCUGCCACUACAGGAGAAACAAGAUUAUUUUACCGGUUGAUUUUGAAACAAAAUGACAGUAUUAGAAUUUUCUACAGUUUCAUGGUUAUAGUCUACACUUUGUCAAUAUUUAAUCAAAUAAUUACCUGCCACUUAACUUUAAACACUUUGGAUUUUUAUAAGGGGCUGACAAGUUGAAGACAACGUAAACAAUAAAUGUUUAAAUGCUCUUUUAAGCUCCCAAGCAGCAAAUUUGUUGUAUUUUGUUGUGUGUGGGUGGCACUGUCGCCUUUCAGAAAAAGAGUCCUGGGUUCAAAUCUGUGUUUCUGUAUGACGUUUGCAUGUUCACUUCCAGCAACAGACAUAUAAAGUUGGUAAUUCUAAACUGAGUUUAGCGUGCUUCGUGUCUCUCUCUCUCUUUAUGCCAGCUGAAAUAGACUCCAGCCUCCCUGUAA
ensembl:lncRNA